UGUUGAGGACACUGAUUAAGGCCACAUGUGGUUAUCCGGCAAUUUCUGACGAUAUAGGCCGCAACUCAAAAUCUAUUAUGAGAAUGUUAUCGCCAGAUGUUGACCCCGGCAUUAAGGCGUUUAUGAGCGUCGUCAAUGCAGCAGAGCGACAUUCACAGAAAUCUGCAUA
rnacentral:misc_RNA from 3 species